GGUUUCGGAUUUUAGGGAUUUAAAUGUACUGCUCGUUAAUUCCUCGUAAUCUGACGUCGAAUGUACGACGUAAUCCUCGUUUAUUCCACGUAGGACAGAAUCGUCGUAAAGACCUCGUAAGGUAAAUUGACGUAAAUACCACGUAAAGUAAAUGACGAAGGAGGCACUCGUUUAUUCCACGUAGGACAGAAUCGUCGUAAAGACCUCGUAAGGUAAAUUGACGUAAAUACCACGUAAAGUAAAUGACGAAGGAGGCACUCGUUUAUUCCACGUAGGACAGAAUCGUCGUAAAGACCUCGUAAGGUAAAUUGACGUAAAUACCACGUAAAGUAAAUGACGAAGGAGGCACUCUUUAAUUCCACGUAGGAUGAUUUCGUCGUAAACACCUCGUAAGGCCACGAGGACUUUACGACGAAAUUAAAAAAGCGGGGCACGCUAAUUCCACGUAAGCC
rnacentral:lncRNA from 1 species